rnacentral:rRNA from 1 species
GCGGCAUGCCUAACACACGCAAGUCGAACGAGAAAGUUCCUUCGGGAAUGAGUAGAGUGGCGCACGGGUGAGUAAUACGUAGAUAAUCUGCCCUUUAGCUUGGGAUAACCUCUCGAAAGAGGGGCUAAUACCAAAGAGACCACAGGGACACCAGUCCUAGGGGUUAAAGGUGGGGACCGUAAGGCCUAUCACUAAAGGAUGAGUCUGCGCACUAUUAGCUUGUUGGUGGGGUAAAAGCCCACCAAGGCUGAGAUGGUUAACUGGUCUGAGAGGAUGACCAGUCACACUGGAACUGAGACACGGUCCAGACUCCUACGGGAGGCAGCAGUGGGGAAUUUUGCACAAUGGGCGAAAGCCUGAUGCAGCAAUGCCGCGUGAGGGAUGAAGGCUCUCGGGUUGUAAAUCUCUGUCGGGUGGAAAAAACGGGACGUUGGCUAACAUCCAAUGUCAUUGAUGGUACCACUAAAGGAAGGGGCGGCUAACUCUGUGCCAGCAGCCGCGGUAAUACAGAGGCCCCAAGCGUUGUUCGGAAUUACUGGGCGUAAAGAGAAUGUAGGCGGCGGCGCAAGUCAGAUGUGAAAGCCCGGGGCUCAACCCCGGAACUGCAUUUGAAACUGCGUCGCUUGAGUACGAUAGAGGAAAGUGGAAUUCCAGGUGUAGGGGUGAAAUCCGUAGAUAUCUGGAGGAAUACCAAUGGCGAAGGCAGCUUUCUGGCUCGUAACUGACGCUGAGAUUCGAAAGCGUGGGUAGCAAACAGGAUUAGAUACCCUGGUAGUCCACGCCGUAAACGAUGAGUGCUUGUCGUUGGGAGUGUUAACCCUUUCAGUGACGAAGCUAACGCGUUAAGCACUCCGCCUGGGGAGUACGGUCGCAAGAUUAAAACUCAAAGAAAUUGACGGGGACCCGCACAAGCAGUGGAGCAUGUGGUUUAAUUCGACGCAACGCGAAGAACCUUAUCCUGGUCUUGACAUCCUUGGACCGACGAUGAAAGUCGUUUUUUCCUUCGGGAACUGAGAGACAGGUGCUGCAUGGCUGUCGUCAGCUCGUGUCGUGAGAUGUUGGGUUAAGUCCCGUAACGAGCGCAACCCACGCCUCUUGUUGCCAGCAUUAAGUUGGGCACUCUAGAGGGACCGCCGGCGUCAAGCCGGAGGAAGGUGUGGACGACGUCAAGUCCUCAUGGCCCUUAUGACCAGGGCUACACACGUGCUACAAUGCAAGGUACAAAGGGCUGCCAAGCCGCGAGGUGGAGCUAAUCCCAAAAAACUUUGCUCAGUUCGGAUUGAAGUCUGCAACUCGACUUCAUGAAGCUGGAAUUGCUAGUAAUCGCAGAUCAGCAUGCUGCGGUGAAUACGUUCUCGGGUCUUGUACACACCGCCCGUCACACCACGAAAGUUGUUUGCACCAGAAGCCGCCGUGCCAACCGCAA